rnacentral:piRNA from 1 species
UACUUCUGUCUGCUCUAUUCACUGGAUC